AUGAGAAGAAAUUUGCUAGUCAAAGGGGAGUGGAGUUCUCUAGGAAGGAAGACCAGCUUGUGUCAAGGUACAAAAGAUGCUAGUGUAUUCAAGAACUGCAUUCGAGGAUGUCAAGAAAGGUGCUUUUUCAAAAUCAAAGGAAAAGAGGCAUCUCUCAGCAUGAGAAGAAAGGUUAUUGCUUGUUCUGGCAGCUGUGAGGCCAUUGUUUACACCUGGGUAUCAAUGAUCAAAGGCCCAAGAACACUGGUCGAUAACAUACAGAAGCUCAUCAGCGCCACGCCACGGGGUUCCAAGUCAAUACCUACAUCCUAUUAUCUUCACCAUCAAUGGCAUCAACUACCCAGUGCAAACUCGAGCCUACAUCCUCAAGGUGAGGGGACAACACUGAGGGCUGGUUCUCAAACUGGAGCUUUCAGGAACCCUUGGGCUGCUGCUAGGAGGAGGGCGCCCUCUGGAGGCCAUGUCACACCAUUGCAGAUGCUGCUGAGCUCUGUGACUGGGCAAGUGACUCCCACAAAACCAAUCACUUGAGAGUAAAGGGCAGUGUGGGACACUGAUCUUCCUGAAAUAAAUGUAGAGAGGCCACACCAUAUGCAUGGUUUGAGUCAGGGAGAGGGGAACACUAAGGUCUUCAGUCCUCAAAGAGCUUCAAUUCAAUGUGAACCCUUAGGUUCAUGAAUAUGAAAUUCACCAAUAGCAGUCCCUGAAAUAGGCUAUAUUACAAGGAGAAUGUGUGGGGACAGUCCCAGUGUGAUAUCCCAGCAUAAGUUAACAGGCUCCCUUCCCUCCUCAAAGUUUUCCUGGUUUGAAUGGUAAAUUACAUGGUCAACCUAGUUCUCUGCUUCAUCUUCCUCUUGCUCUGGCCAGGUGCCCCCUUUGUGAGUUAAGGUACCCGACCCCUCUGUGGUGAGGUUGGAUGCCAAUGUGCAUAAAGGAUGCACUGUGACUGCUCAGCCUCAGCACUGGGUGGAAGCUUCGUGUCAGCUCCCAGCGGGAGUUCAGAGCAGGCUGAUGGAUUCAAAGAAGGCUUUGAGGAAGAGAGGAAAUUACAGGAAUUCUAAAACCACAAACUCAUUGAGCCAUAUGGAAGGUUGCUUGGUUCUAGGCAAGCUUCACUGGAUUCCAGGCAAAUGGCAUCUCAAGGUGGUCUGCACUGGGGCACUGGGCACUUCAGUGGGAUGAUGAAGGCUAUGGACUGACCAGUGGGGAUGGGGAACAAGAGUACAUUACCCAACCAAGCCUGGAAUGGCCAAAGACAGUGAGUGUGGGCUGAAGGAGGUUUUGCAGAGUUCCUGAGUUAAGUCUUCAAGAAAGUGUUGUGGGCACUGCUCUAUUUAAGAGGGAUAACCAAAAACAAGCUGCUGUGUAGCACAGGAAACUAUGCUCAGUUAUAUGACAGUUGGAUGGGAGGGGUGUCUUUGUGACCAGGAUACCUGGAUACAUACCAUUGAGUCCCCUUACUAUACACCUGAAACUCAGAAUAUUGUUAAUCAGCUAUAAUCCAAUACAAAAUAAAGUUUCUUAAUAAAGUACAGAUUGUGGGGAUUCAGGAGGAGAAUCAACAUUCUCUGCAGAGAAAACAAGGAGCAGGAGUCAGAAGGAAAGAAACAGGGAAUGAGGACAGCUAUGGACACACUUGUUCUUUUCGAAAAAAUUAUACUGAAGUGUGUCUAAUCUUCAGUGUUGCUUUAAGUUCUCCUGCACAACAAUGUGAUUCAGUUAUACACAUAAAAAUAUAUAUAUUUUCUUUUUUUUUUCAUGUGUUUAUCACUGAAUAUUGAAUAUAGUUCCUUAUGCUGUACAGUAGGACUUUGUUGCUUUUCAUUCUUCUGUUUCCCAAACUCCCAGUCCUCGACUCACCACACCCUUCCUCAUGGCAACCUCAUGUUUUGGCCAUCUUUGUUUUUGGAUGAACUCUCAUAUUGCCUGCUGCUGAGAAAACCCCUUGAUACUUACCAAAAGAGGGAAAUUAAAAAAAAGAAUUUUGCUGGGUCUGGAUAUUGGCGGGAGUCACAGGUAAGGGCUCAUGCUGACAGGAUUCUAAAGGCCGCUGCUAUACCAUCUUUCAAGAGAACGCUGUGAGUCCAUCUACAGAGACCAGGGUCCUGGGUGACGUCUUCCUGAGGCUGUAUUUCUCAGUCUAUGAUCGAGGAAAUGAAAGGAUCGGCCUGGCACGGGCAGUGUAAAUGCUUGGAGUGGUUCAGGAAUCAGUAAGGAUGCUCCUAACACACACUCACUCACACAUUAGGCACUGCUCCCCCGGAUGCUGGUGAACUGUGUUUGGUGGUCUGCACACCCUAUUCUCAGAAAAUAAUAAAAGGUUUCACUCUUAAUGGUGCAGAAACAAAUGGUUGCCUCUGUUUGUGUCUGAGAGUGAAGGAUCUAGAAUGAAGUCUGAAACAAAAUUGAGAGAAGCUCUACUCCAACUGGCUUCAAGGAAAAAGAAGACUCAUUGAAAUGAUUCUGGGAAUCCAGGACACAAGACUCAGAGCAAAUACAAAGAUCUCAGUGACUGGACCCAGGGAAUCAGAAGUCAUCAGUUCUCUCUUUCUCACCCUCAGUCUUUCCCUUUCCACUUCUUUAAUGGUCUUAGCCUGACAACUUUCUUCCUUAAGGCUUCCGCACUUAGUGAGGGAGUCCAAGCUACCUGCCCUAGGCUUUUAUAUCCUGAAGUCAUCUCCUAGUAAGGAAAGAAGCUCGGAACCAUUAGAAUUCAAGGGUGUUCCCUAAAUGACCUACUUCAGUUCACAUGUACAGCCCUAGAUCAGCCAUCCUGGCAGGGCCAUGGGGUCCUAUGAUUGGCUUUACAUGGUCAUUGGACCUGACCCAGCAGCACACAUGACUGUCAAUUUCCUCCAGAAUUACAUGACUGAAGCUGGGGAGAGGCAGCCCCAAGGAUAGCGACUGGGAGAUGGUCUAGGCCAUGGAGGAGUUUGUGAUGACCCACCAACUCCACCACUUCCUCAUUCAGAGGAAUUACAGGGGUAAUGAAAUAGUCUCUCUUCAUCUCUUCUCAGAUGAUCUUAUUUCUGGGCUUCUCCUCCAGGGGAUUUUUGGUGAGGUAUUUCAUGCAGAACUGGUUGCCUCUUGUUCCCAUACCCCAGUCACCAUCUCUCUGCCACAUAUGCCUGCUCUGUCCUUUCCAGUCCUACUUGGUAAGUGGUGGCCCCAGUGGAUCCCUGAACCAUCCCCUCCUCCAAGGCCCAGAAUACCCCUUCCUUGGCCUCCAAUGCUGCUGGGAAGAAUGCAACACAUGUGUCAGGGGACCCAGGGAACAGAGAGCCUUCAGCCUUUCUGAGCUUCCUCCAGGGGUGGAGCUACAAACUAUUUGCUUGGAGCUGCCAUGGUUAGGCACUUUUGCAGUGGAAGUAUCCGUUCUUUCCACCUGGACCCCUCAGUACAUGUCUUGGUGAAGAAAAUAGUGGUCAGAGGUUGAUUUCCUUUCAGAUUGACUGUUUUGAUCUCCUUGUUUUAUAAGGGACUCUCAAGAAUCUUCUCAAGCACCACAGUUCAAAAGCUCAAUUCUUUUUCAUUCACCCUUUCAUAUGGUCCAGAUCUCACAUCUCUACAUGAUUACUGGAAAAAUCAUAGCUGUGAUACUACAGACCUCUGUAGCAAAGUGAGUCUCUGCUUUUUAAUACACUGCAGGUUUUUCAUACCCUUUCUUCCUUCCAAGGAGCAAGUGUCUUAAUUUUGUGGCUGGAGUCAAGGUCCAUAGUGAUUUUGGAGCCCAAGAAAAUAAAAUCUGCCACUGUUUCCACUUCUCUCUCAUCUAUAUGCCAUGAAGUGGUGGUACUGGAUGCCAUGAGUAUUGAGUAUUUUUUUUGUGAAUAGUUGUUUGAAUGUCGAGUUUUAAGCCAGCUUUUUUUCAUCUCCUCUCCUUAUCAAUUGGUCUUUAGUUCUUUGCUUUCUGCUAUUAGGAUGGUGUCAUCUUCAUACCUGUGGAUGUUGAUAUUUCUCCCAGCAAUCUUGAUUCCAUCUUGGGAUUUAUGCAGUCCACCAUAUUUUAUGAUCUUUCCUACAUACAAGUUCAAUAAGCAGAGUUACAAUGUAUAUCUUGUCAUGCUCCUUUCCCAAUUUAAUUAUUUUAGUUGUUCUGUGUCUGAUUCUAACUGCCAAUUUUUGACCUCCAUACAGACUUUCAGGAGACAGUUAAGGUGAUCUGCUACUCCCUUUCUCUUAAGAAUUUUCCUCAGUUUGUUGUGGUCCACGCAGUGAAAGACUUUAGCAUAGUCAGUGAAGUAGAUGCAGAUGUUUUUCUGGAAUCCCCUUGCUUUCUCUAUGGUCCAAUGAAUGUUGGCAAUCUGAUCUCUGAUUCCUCAAACCAGUUUGUACAUCUGGAAGUUCUCAGUUCAUGUACUGUGAAGCUUAGCUUGAAAUUUUGAACAUUACCUUGCUAGCAAGUUAGACGAGCGUGAUUGCAUGAUAGGUUGAACAUUCUUUCGAAUUCCCUUUCUUUUGGAUUGUAAUGAAAACUGGCUUUUUCCAGCACUGUGGCCACUGCUGAGUUUUCCACAUUUGCUGACAUGUUGAAUGCAGCACUGUUACAGCCUCAUUCUUUAGGAUGUUUUAAACAGCUCAGCUGUAAUUCCAUCACCACCUCCACUAGCUUUGCUUCUAGUGAUGCUUCCUAAGGUCCCCUUGACUUCAUGCUCUAGUUUAUCUGGCUUUACACAACUGACCCCAACAUCAUCUCUAUCCGGGUCAUUAUGACCAUUUUUGUAUAGGUUUUCUGUGCAUUCUUACUACCUCUUCUUAAUCUCAUCUGCUUCUGUUAGGUUUUGACUUUUCUGUCCUUUAUUGUGCCCAUCUUUCCAUGAAGUAUUCCUAUCGUAUCUCCAAUUUUCCUGAAAAGAUCUAUACUCUUUACAAUUUAUUAUUUUUCCUCUAAUUCUUGCAUUUUUCACUUAGGAAGACUUUCUUAUCUCUCCCUGCUCUUCUCUUGAAGUCUGCAUGUCUUUGGGUAUAUCUUUCCUUUUCUUGUUUGCUGUUCACUUCUCUUAUUUUCUCAGCUGUUUUCAAGGCCUCCUCAGCCAACCACGUUGCCUUCUCAUAUUUCUUUUUCUUGGGGAUAGUUUUGGCCACCACUUCCCAUACAAUGUUACUAACAUCCAUCCAUAGAUAU
ensembl:lincRNA